GACGAACGCUGGCGGCGUGCUUAACACAUGCAAGUCGAACGGAAAGGCCUCUUUCGGGGGGUACUCGAGUGGCGAACGGGUGAGUAACACGUGAGUAACCUGCCCUUGACUUUGGGAUAACUUCAGGAAACUGGGGCUAAUACCGGAUAGGAGCUCCUGCUGCAUGGUGGGGGUUGGAAAGUUUCGGCGGUUGGGGAUGGACUCGCGGCUUAUCAGCUUGUUGGUGGGGUAGUGGCUUACCAAGGCUUUGACGGGUAGCCGGCCUGAGAGGGUGACCGGCCACAUUGGGACUGAGAUACGGCCCAGACUCCUACGGGAGGCAGCAGUGGGGAAUAUUGCACAAUGGGUGGAAGCCUGAUGCAGCAACGCCGUGUGCGGGAUGACGGCCUCGG
rnacentral:rRNA from 1 species